GGUUAUUGGGCUGUCCAGGCCUCUCAAGCAGCACGGAAAUGAGGUUUGGUUAUCCAAGGAGCAGUGCCCAGCUCCUUCCCAGCGGGAUAUGGAAUGCUGGUGAUUUCCAGGAAGUGACCUCACAGUGACUCAAGCUACCACGUGUUGAUUGUGAUGAAAUGCCAGCUGAGGCACAUUCCCUGGGAGCUAAAGGGUGCUACACUUGACCACUGCAGCAGUAAAGAUGCCUCCGAAGAAUGGCAUGGGAUGGAUCCUUUCAAGUGAACUUGAGCAGGGGUCUCCAACCACAGGGCCACAGAGCUGGAGGUGAGCAGCAGCUGGAUCAACUACGAAAUACUUCAGAGCCCAGGAAGAGAGACUGACUGGACAGCAUGUUAUUCAGGU
rnacentral:lncRNA from 10 species